UUGAUUGAUUCAUCAAGUACUCCGACGUACAGAUACAGAGUUGAAAUGGUCCACCGGGGACCCCGGCGCGGGGGCCGGGUCGCCCCCGAGGCAACAAGUGUUGGUCAACAAAGGGUUGGAGGUCGGGCCAGAGACCCUCACUCGGUAAUGAUCCCUCCGCAGGUUCACCUACGGAGA
rnacentral:misc_RNA from 1 species